UACGUAGGUGGCAAGUGUUGUCCGGAUUUAUUGGGUUUAAAGGGUGCGUAGGCGGCUGUUUAAGUCAGUGGUGAAAGCCGAUCGCUUAACGAUCGAACCGCCAUUGAUACUGAAUAGCUUGAGUACAGAUGAGGUAGGCGGAAUUGACAGUGUAGCGGUGAAAUGCAUAGAUAUUGUCAAGAACACCGAUUGCGAAGGCAGCUUACUAAAGUGUCACUGACGCUGAGGCACGAAAGUGCGGGGAUCAAACAGG
rnacentral:rRNA from 1 species